rnacentral:pre_miRNA from 1 species
AGGAGGCCGCCCCGGCCAACUGCUCUCCGAGACAACAUGCUUCUUUAUAUCCCCAUAUGGAUUACGCUGCUAUGGAAUGUAAGGAAGUGUGUGGUUUCGGGCCAGAGCCCUCCCGGCCGCCU